rnacentral:rRNA from 1 species
AACGAACGCUGGCGGCAGGCUUAACACAUGCAAGUCGAACGCCCCGCAAGGGGAGUGGCAGACGGGUGAGUAACGCGUGGGAAUCUACCUAGUUCUACGGAACAACAGUUGGAAACGACUGCUAAUACCGUAUACGUCCGAUAGGAGAAAGAUUUAUCGGAGUUGGAUGAGCCCGCGUUGGAUUAGCUAGUUGGUGGGGU